UACAGAGGGUGCGAGCGUUAAUCGGAAUUACUGGGCGUAAAGCGCGCGUAGACGGUUUUGUAAGUCAGAUGUGAAAUCCCUGGGCUCAACCUGGGAACUGCAUUUGAGACUGCAUGGCUAGAGUAUCGAAGAGGGAAGUGGAAUUUCCGGUGUAGCGGUGAAAUGCGUAGAUAUCAAGUGGAACACCAGUGGCGAAGGCGAAUCCCUGGAAAAUACCUGACACUGAGGCACGAAAGCUAGGGGGAGCAAACAGG
rnacentral:rRNA from 1 species